GAAUGUCUAAAAUUAUGGAGAAUAUAAUUCAUUGCUGAAGAUCUGUGUUCAACCAAUUCAUGUUGUUUGGCAUAACAGAUUCUUGAGCUAAAUUUGUCAAUUGAAUAAAAGCCGUCAUCAUUGUUUUCCCUUUUCCUUUCCAAACCAGUGGAAUGCUGGUAUCUUUUGAAAUUUUCAAAUGACAUACAAAAAUGUUUGAAGUCUUUAAUGCUCUCAAUAGAAGAUGUAUAAUGUACACUUUAGCAUGUGG
rnacentral:misc_RNA from 1 species